rnacentral:rRNA from 1 species
GUAAAUGGCUGCAUAAACCUGAGUGUACUAAGGUAGCGCUAUAAUUUGCCCUUUAAAUGGGGGCUGGUAUGAAUGGGUUCACGUGAGAGUUGCUGUGUCGCAAAAAAUUCUUUGAAAUUAACUUUUAGGUGAAGAGGCCUAGUUGAACAUAUAGGACGACAAGACCCUAGAAGCUUGACUAUGAGUGACUUAUUUAUUAAAUUGCUUUAGUUUUGUUGGGGCAACAAAGUUAGUAUGUAUAACUUUUUUAUAUUAACCUACCGGUUAAAUCCACAUUAGUGAAUAAGAUAAGCUACUCUAGGGAUAACAGCGUUAUUUUUUUUAAUAGUACGUAUUGUAAAAAAAGUUUGCGACCUCGAUGUUGGAUUAAGGUGUCCUUAAGACGCAGAAGUCUUAGAGGGUUGGCCUGUUCGUCCAUUAAAACCUUACA